rnacentral:rRNA from 1 species
UCCUGGUGUAGCGGUGAAAUGCGCAGAUAUCAGGAGGAACACCGGUGGCGAGAGGCGGGUCUCUGGGCAACAACUGACGUGAGGAGCGAAAGCGUGGGGAGCGAACAGGAUUAGAUACCCUGUAGUCCACGCCGUAAACGUUGGGCGCUAGGUGUGGGGCUCAUUCCACGAGUUCCGUGCCGCAGCUAACGCAUUAAGCGCCCCGCCUGGGGAGUACGGCCGCAAGGCUAAAACUCAAAGGAAUUGACGGGGGCCCGCACAAGCGGCGGAGCAUGUUGCUUAAUUCGAUGCAACGCGAAGAACCUUACCUAGGCUUGACAUGCACGGAAAUCUUUCAGAGAUGGAAGGUCCGUAAGGGCCGUGCACAGGUGGUGCAUGGUUGUCGUCAGCUCGUGUCGUGAGAUGUUGGGUUAAGUCCCGCAACGAGCGCAACCCUCGUCCUAUGUUGCCAGCACGUGAUGGUGGGGACUCAUAGGAGACUGCCGGGGUCAACUCGGAGGAAGGUGGGGAUGACGUCAAAUCAUCAUGCCCCUUAUGUCUAGGGCUGCAAACAUGCUACAAUGGCCGGUACAAAGGGCUGCGAUACCGCAAGGUGGAGCGAAUCGGAAAAAGCCGGUCUCAGUUCGGAUUGGGGUCUGCAACUCGACCCCAUGAAGUUGGAGUCGCUAGUAAUCGCAGAUCAGCAACGCCGCGGUGAAUACGUUCCCGGG